AUUGAACGCUGGCGGCAGGCCUAACACAUGCAAGUCGAGCGAGCGGCGGACGGGUGAGUAAUGUAUGGGGACUGCCCGAUAGAGGGGGAUAACUACUGGAAACGGUGGCUAAUACCGCAUACUAUCGGAUAACCCAUAUGGUAUUAGCUAGUAGGUGGGGUAAAGGCUCACCUAGGCGACGAUCUCUAGCUGGUCUGAGAGGAUGAUCAGCCACACUGGGACUGGAACACGAGCAAGACUCCUACGGAGGAAGAAGUGGGGAAUAUUGCACAAUGGGGGCAAGCCUGAUGCGGCCAGGCGGCGUGUAUUAAGAAGGCCUUAGGGUUUUAAAGUACUUUCAGAGGGGAGGCGUUACCCACAGAAGAAGCACCGGCUAACUCCGUGCCAGCAGCCGCGGUAAUAC
rnacentral:rRNA from 1 species